GCAGUGGUAGUUCAGUGGUAGAAUUCUUCUUGCAUUCCAUGCAGGAGACCCGGGUUUGAUUCCUGGCUAUUGCC
rnacentral:tRNA from 1 species